UCCGUAGGUGAACCUGCGGAAGGAUCAUUAGUGAUUUGACCUUUAUGGUCUAAAACUAUUCCACAUACCUCUGUGAACUGUUUGGUCUUCGGACCGAUUUUACAAACAUCAGUGUAAUGAACGUAACAUAUUUAUAACCUAAUAAAACUUUCAACAACGGAUCUCUUGGCUCUCGCAUCGAUGAAGAACGCAGCGAAAUGCGAUAAGUAAUGUGAAUUGCAGAAUUCAGUGAAUCAUCGAAUCUUUGAACGCACCUUGCACCUUUUGGUAUUCCGAAAGGUAUGCCUGUUUGAGUGUCAUGAAAUCUCACUCCCCUCGGGUUUUACGACCUGAUCGGAUGUGGACUUGGGCGUACUGUCUUUCAUUAGACUCGCCUCAAAUGGAUCAGUGGAAAGAAAGCUAAUGGCUAAGACGUAAUAAGUUUCGUCUGUGCUGGGCUUAGACGUCUGCUCACAACCAACCAUAUUUCUGACUCUGACCUCAAAUCAGGUAGGGCUACCCGCUGAACUUAAGCAUAUCAAUAAGCGGAGGA
rnacentral:rRNA from 1 species